CUGGCGGCAGGCCUAACACAUGCAAGUCGAGCGGUAGCACAAGGGAGCUUGCUCCCUGGGNUGACGAGCGGCGGACGGGUGAGUAAUGUCUGGGGAUCUGCCUGAUGGAGGGGGAUAACUACUGGAAACGGUAGCUAAUACCGCAUAACGUCGCAAGACCAAAGUGGGGGACCUUAGGGCCUCAUGCCAUCGGAUGAACCCAGAUGGGAUUAGCUAGUAGGUGGGGUAAUGGCUCACCUAGGCGACGAUCCCUAGCUGGUCUGAGAGGAUGACCAGCCACACUGGAACUGAGACACGGUCCAGACUCCUACGGGAGGCAGCAGUGGGGAAUAUUGCACAAUGGGCGCAAGCCUGAUGCAGCCAUGCCGCGUGUGUGAAGAAGGCCUUAGGGUUGUAAAGCACUUUCAGCGAGGAGGAAGGAUGAAGUGUUAAUAGCACUUGAUAUUGACGUCUUACCUACUCUUGACAUCCAGAGAAUUAGCCAGAGAUGGCUGAGUGCCUUCGGGAGCUCUGAGACAGGUGCUGCAUGGCUGUCGUCAGCUCGUGUUGUGAAAUGUUGGGUUAAGUCCCGCAACGAGCGCAACCCUUAUCCUUUGUUGCCAGCGAUUCGGUCGGGAACUCAAAGGAGACUGCCGGUGAUAAACCGGAGGAAGGUGGGGAUGACGUCAAGUCAUCAUGGCCCUUACGAGUAGAGCUACACACGUGCUACAAUGGCGUAUACAAAGAGAAGCGAGCCUGCGAGGGGAAGCGGACCUCAUAAAGUACGUCGUAGUCCGGAUUGGAGUCUGCAACUCGACUCCAUGAAGUCGGAAUCGCUAGUAAUCGUAGAUCAGAAUGCUACGGUGAAUACGUUCCCGGGCCUUGUACACACCGCCCGUCACANCCAUGGGAGUGGGUUGCAAAAGAAGUAGGUAGCUUAACCUUCGGGAGGGCGCUUACCACUUUGUGGUUCAUG
rnacentral:rRNA from 1 species